rnacentral:lncRNA from 1 species
UAUAAUAAGGAUCUUAACCUCAUCCCCAAAAGGCUCACCAAGCUCACUUAUAAAAAGUCUAUUUUUUUUUCUCUCCUCACCAUUUAAACGCGAACAACUUCAGACCUCUCAUCUCUCGCUCUCUUCUAAAGCUCUCCUCUCAAGCUCUCCCGACCUCACUUCUCACGAUCGAACUUCAGAUUGGGUAGAUUCUCUCCCUUCUCACCCCCUGCUCACGUGGUCGUCCCAAAUCCCAAAACGAGGGUUAGCCCUAAUUUUUUGCCCCAAAUCAGAAAACGAUGGUUCGCCCUAAUCUUGUUGGGAGAUUCACGUGACAAAAUCCCAAAACGAGAGUUUGCCCUGAUUUUUACCCCUCAAAAGCAUCAUACGCAAGUUCGUAUUUUAUCUCUCUUUCAAUUAUCCACAGAAAUUGUGUAUUGCUAUUUAAAAAUACUUCAAUUAGCUAUCAUUCAUGUAGAUGUUGUUUGUAAAAAUGCUAGUUGAAGGCCGACUUUGCACUCUUUUAGUGUCAUGAUAGUAGUUUCUUCAACAGGCCAUAUUUUUAUCAAAUGGUUGCGUGUAUUGCUAUUUAAAAAUAUUUUAAAUAUUGAUUUGAUUAUAGACAUCAAAGAGUGGAUUACUUUGUGAUUCAAAUCAGAAGUUAGUUUUAUGCAUGUUAUAUAUGGCCAUAAAACAUGUAUGAACCCGCUUACAAAACUGUUGCAUAUAAGGUGUUUGAUAAAUUGCCUCUUAGAGGUUGUCAAGCAUAAAUAGGUGAAUUUGAUUAAGUUUAGGAUCAAAGAAGCCUUUACGCAUGUUAUGUGAAGAAAUUUAAGUUGUUUGGGUUAAAUCAAAUUGGGUUUAGAACCUGUUUUGGGACUGAUGAUCAUAUGCCUUUACGCAUGUUAGGUGAAGUAAUUUAAGUUGUUUGUGUUAAACGAAAUUGGGUUUAGAACCUGUUUUGGGUGUGUAAAAGGUGUGCAUAGAUUUUCUCGUAGACAAAGUUGCAUCCUUUAAUUUUUUACCACUGUCCACUUUAGUUGCAUCCUUUAAUUUUUACACAUUUUAAUAAAGUUGGAAUAUUGUGUAUAUAACAUUGUGCAUAUCUGUAUUAUAAGUUUCCGUUUCUUGCGUGCUCUAUUUACAUAGUUGGAACAAAUUUACUCUAGUAAAAUGACUGGAAUUGGACCUGACAACUACCAUGUUUGUAGGUGACAAGGAACUAUGGUGCAUUAAGAAGGUGAAAGAUCAUUGACACAUCCCUUGUUCAGAUGCUGGCCAACCUUGUGUUUUUAAAAUCAUGCCAGUUCGUAAUCACUGGAAUGGAGCAAGAGAUGGAGAAUUUGUUUGUUGUAACCUUAUCCAAGAAUUUGUUGUAUCCUUAUUCAAAAAUUUGUUUUGUAAGCAUCUGUAAGGAUUUAUUAUACUUAUUAGACUUGUAAUUUAUUAUACUUAUUGGACUUGCAAAGAGAUUUACCAAAAUUCAGUUAUCCUGCAUUUAUUCUAAGAAAAUUUGUCUUGCUUAGAGAACCUUGUAGUUAAAUAGUGAAGACAUCUAAUAGCUACAACUGGUCAAAAAUUGGAUGAGCUUGGUUUUGGUUUCACAUACUUUUUGAGAGAACUUUUCUCAAUAUGUCAUUGUUACUGGGAGAUGAGAUCCAGUUUGUGAUUUUACUGAGAGAACUUUUUCAAUAUGUCAUUAUUAUAAGAACCAUUAGGAAUCCAGUUUGUGAUUUUAUUGAAC